GCAUGGCUGCAGGACAGCAGAGGCUGAGAAGGUGGAAGCACCGAGGACAGAGACUGAGAUGGCUGCAGGGCAGAGAGGCCCAGAAGCAGAGAUUGCCUUGCUGCAGUGGACUCGCUCUGAGAAAGACCUGCUAGGGGAGUGUUGCAACUGGAUGAAAGAAGCUGCUAACUUCGAAGGAGACCAAUAGAAGUAGACAUGGAAUAUUCCUGGCGCAAAGAAUCCACCAGACUUACUGAGGAAGAGGAAAAUACUGCGUGAAGACUGAGACACACAGGGAGAAGAUGGCCAUGUGAAGGCGGCGGUCGACUGGAGUUAUGCCGCCACGAGUCAAGGACAGCUGGGGUUAACAGAAGCCAGAAGAGGCGAGGAAGCACUCCCCUCUAGGUGCCUCGGAGGGGGCACGACCCUGCUGACACCUUGCCUUUGGACUUCGAGCUCCCAGAACUG